rnacentral:rRNA from 1 species
AUUGAACGCUGGCGGCAGGCUUAACACAUGCAAGUCGAGCGGGGUGAUGGUGCUUGCACUAUCACUUAGCGGCGGACGGGUGAGUAAUGCUUUGGAAUCUGCCCAUUAGUGGGGGACAACAUCUCGAAAGGGAUGCUAAUACCGCAUACGUCCUACGGGAGAAAGCAGGGGAUCACUUGUGACCUUGCGCUAAUAGAUGAGCCUAAGUCGGAUUAGCUAGUUGGUGGGGUAAAGGCCUACCAAGGCGACGAUCUGUAGCGGGUCUGAGAGGAUGAUCCGCCACACUGGGACUGAGACACGGCCCAGACUCCUACGGGAGGCAGCAGUGGGGAAUAUUGGACAAUGGGGGGAACCCUGAUCCAGCCAUGCCGCGUGUGUGAAGAAUGCCUUAUGGUUGUAAAGCACUUUAAGCGAGGAGGAGGCUCUUUUGGUUAAUACCCAAGAUGAGUGGACGUUACUCGCAGAAUAAGCACCGGCUAACUCUGUGCCAGCAGCCGCCGUAA